rnacentral:rRNA from 1 species
UACGAAGGGGGCUAGCGUUGCUCGGAAUCACUGGGCGUAAAGGGUGCGUAGGCGGUUCUUUAAGUCAGAGGUGAAAUCCUGGAGCUCAACUCCAGAACUGCCUUUGAUACUGAGGAUCUUGAGUAUGGGAGAGGUGAGUGGAACUGCGAGUGUAGAGGUGAAAUUCGUAGAUAUUCGGAAGAACACCAGUGGCGAAGGCGGCUCACUGGCCCGGUACUGACGCUGAGGUGCGAAAGCGUGGGGAGCAAACAGG